UCAGGAAAGGGGCUGGGGAUGUUUGGUUUACCUUAACACCCUGUGCCAGCUCCUUCGAGCUUUCUGAGCCUAUGCAUCAUGUUAUUGCAGUGAUCUUUCUCAGACUACUUUGAGCUCAGUAUCGGCACAGUCUAUUCAUGCCUAUACUGAAAAUAGGAUUACUUUCUACUUUCCACCUCAAGAGGCAAAUUGGCAUCCACAGAGCAGGAUUUAAGCUGUUAAAGCAUUCCUAUUAAUUAGUCUCCUUUCCAGCAAACUCCCUGGAAGUAGGAAAGGCAGAGAGCUUUGCAGAUGUGCACAGACACUUCACACUGGCCUGAGAUCAAUCUGAUGCAAUGAGACCAUUGGGCUGGUGAAAGUCUACACACAAGGCAUCUUGCUUAAACCAUAAUUACCUUUGUGGUUACUUCCAUUGCUGCCACAGCAUUGUCCCUUUCAGGAUGUCAAUCACCACCUUCCCCCAGGGGACAUUUAUGUUUUCCAGGAGGUUGCAAAGCUUUGCUCACAGGCCAUGGAAGCGCGACAUAGCACGUAAACAUCCAUAAACCCUUCUGAUGCUGACACCAAGCAAGAUCAAAGCUUGCUGGUGACAGUUCAGCGUGGCACAAGGCAGGGUACUCUGCACAGUGCCUCACAUGCCCAAAGGGAGAUAUGUUUUCCCUGUCCUUGGAGUAAGUGGUAUUGAUAGCAACAUCCUUCUUCUCAAGCCAUGAUAAGGGAAGGUGUUAAUUCACCACUGACACCAAGUGCUGAAGUGUUUUAUCUGGAGUACCAGGCAGUAAUACACUUUAGACAGAGAGAUACUAUAUAAAAUGGAGUGGUGACCCAUGGAGGUCUGGAUAGGUGUAAUUAGCUCUGCUGUCACAUAGGAAUGAGCAUGUUUGUACAGAAUAUGUCCAAUUUCUAGCAACACCUGCUCAUUUGCUUUAACCAGACUUCUCAAAGAGGGACUAAUUAACACUUCCUUGGAAGCCCAGCAAUGGCUUUACCUCUCAAUCGGAAUUCCUUCUGCUGGAAGGCAAAUCAGUUACUAUAUCAGGAAAAGCUGAUGGAAGCAGGAAACCAUCUUCAUGCCUAAAAUCAAUUAAAGGAGAAGGCAGAGCUCACUA